rnacentral:rRNA from 1 species
UACGUAGGGCGCAAGCGUUUAUCCGGAAUUAUUGGGCGUAAAGAGCUCGUAGGCGGUUUGUCGCGUCUGCCGUGAAAGUCCGGGGCUCAACUCCGGAUCUGCGGUGGGUACGGGCAGACUAGAGUGAUGUAGGGGAGACUGGAAUUCCUGGUGUAGCGGUGAAAUGCGCAGAUAUCAGGAGGAACACCGGUGGCGAAGGCGGGUCUCUGGGCCGUAACUGACGCUGGAGGAGCGAAAGCAUGGGGAGCGAACAGG